UACACUCCUACGGGAGGCAGCAUUGGGGAAUAUUGGACAAUGGGCGCGAGCCUGAUCCAGCCAUGCCGCGUGAGUGAUGAAGGCCCUAGGGUUGUAAAGCUCUUUCACCGGUGAAGAUAAUGACGGUAACCGGAGAAGAAGCCCCGACUAACUUCGUGCCAGCAGCCGCGGUAAUACGAAGGGGGCUAGCGUUGUUCGGAUUUACUGGGCGUAAAGCGCACGUAGGCGGACUAUUAAGUCAGGGGUGAAAUCCCGGGGCUCAACCCCGGAACUGCCUUUGAUACUGGUAGUCUUGAGUUCGAGAGAGGUGAGUGGAAUUCCGAGUGUAGAGGUGAAAUUCGUAGAUAUUCGGAGGAACACCAGUGGCGAAGGCGGCUCACUGGUUCGAUACUGACGCUGAGGUGCGAAAGCGUGGGGAGCAAACAGGAUUAGAUACCCCGGUAGUCCCAUG
rnacentral:rRNA from 1 species